rnacentral:rRNA from 1 species
GGGUUGUGAGGUUAAGCGACUAAGCGUACACGGUGGAUGCCCUGGCAGUCAGAGGCGAUGAAGGACGUGCUAAUCUGCGAUAAGCGUCGGUAAGGUGAUAUGAACCGUUAUAACCGGCGAUUUCCGAAUGGGGAAACCCAGUGUGAUUCGUCACACUAUCAUUGCGUGAAUACAUAGCGUAAUGAAGCGAACCGGGGGAACUGAAACAUCUAAGUACCCCGAGGAAAAGAAAUCAACCGAGAUUCCCCCAGUAGCGGCGAGCGAACGGGGAGCAGCCCAGAGUCUGAAUCAGCAUGUGUGGUAGUGGAACGGUCUGGAAAGUCCGACGGUACAGGGUGAUAGUCCCGUACACAAAAGUGCAUGUGUUGUGAACUCGAAGAGUAGGGCGGGACACGUGGUAUCCUGUCUGAAUAUGGGGGGACCAUCCUCCAAGGCUAAAUACUCCUGACUGACCGAUAGUGAACCAGUACCGUGAGGGAAAGGCGAAAAGAACCCCGGCGAGGGGAGUGAAAAAGAACCUGAAACCGUGUACGUACAAGCAGUGGGAGCCUCUUUAUGGGGUGACUGCGUACCUUUUGUAUAAUGGGUCAGCGACUUAUAUUCUGUAGCAAGGUUAACCGAAUAGGGGAGCCGAAGGGAAACCGAGUCUUAACUGGGCGUUAAGUUGCAGGGUAUAGACCCGAAACCCGGUGAUCUAGCCAUGGGCAGGUUGAAGGUUGGGUAACACUAACUGGAGGACCGAACCGACUAAUGUUGAAAAAUUAGCGGAUGACUUGUGGCUGGGGGUGAAAGGCCAAUCAAACCGGGAGAUAGCUGGUUCUCCCCGAAAGCUAUUUAGGUAGCGCCUCGUGAAUUCAUCUUCGGGGGUAGAGCACUGUUUCGGCUAGGGGGUCAUCCCGACUUACCAACCCGAUGCAAACUGCGAAUACCGAAGAAUGUUAUCACGGGAGACACACGGCGGGUGCUAACGUCCGUCGUGAAGAGGGAAACAACCCAGACCGCCAGCUAAGGUCCCAAAGUCAUGGUUAAGUGGGAAACGAUGUGGGAAGGCACAGACAGCCAGGAUGUUGGCUUAGAAGCAGCCAUCAUUUAAAGAAAGCGUAAUAGCUCACUGGUCGAGUCGGCCUGCGCGGAAGAUGUAACGGGGCUAAACCAUGCACCGAAGCUGCGGCAGCGACACUAUGUGUUGUUGGGUAGGGGAGCGUUCUGUAAGCCGUUGAAGGUGUGCUGUGAGGCAUGCUGGAGGUAUCAGAAGUGCGAAUGCUGACAUAAGUAACGAUAAUGCGGGUGAAAAACCCGCACGCCGGAAGACCAAGGGUUCCUGUCCAACGUUAAUCGGGGCAGGGUGAGUCGACCCCUAAGGCGAGGCCGAAAGGCGUAGUCGAUGGGAAACAGGUUAAUAUUCCUGUACUUGGUGUUACUGCGA